rnacentral:rRNA from 1 species
GAGUUUGAUCGUGGCUCAGAAUGAACGCUGGCGGCAUGCCUAACACAUGCAAGUCGAACGAAGGCUUCGGCCUUAGUGGCGCACGGGUGCGUAACGCGUGGGAAUCUGCCCUUGGGUUCGGAAUAACAGUUAGAAAUGACUGCUAAUACCGGAUGAUGUCGUAAGACCAAAGAUUUAUCGCCCAAGGAUGAGCCCGCGUAGGAUUAGCUAGUUGGUGGGGUAAAGGCCCACCAAGGCGACGAUCCUUAGCUGGUCUGAGAGGAUGAUCAGCCACACUGGGACUGAGACACGGCCCAGACUCCUACGGGAGGCAGCAGUGGGGAAUAUUGGACAAUGGGCGAAAGCCUGAUCCAGCAAUGCCGCGUGAGUGAUGAAGGCCUUAGGGUUGUAAAGCUCUUUUACCCGGGAUGAUAAUGACAGUACCGGGAGAAUAAGCUCCGGCUAACUUCGUGCCAGCAGCCGCCGUAAC